AGUCAGUUGUGAGUCAAGAUGGAAUUGACCCCUCCUGAAAACAGGAGAUAAUGUCUUGUGAUUAAUUUAGCAAAACCUUGGCCAGGAUAAUUCUAGUGAGGAGUCACGGGAUAUCUAAAGUUAAUCACAUAAUGGAUAUACUAAUUAUAGGGUUGACAGUGAGCUCUAAGUCAUCCUGACAUUAGGAGUCAAAGGGAUUGAAUUAUACAGUAACCAUAGUU
rnacentral:lncRNA from 1 species